UUUUUGAAUGACGAAAAAUUU
rnacentral:piRNA from 1 species